CCAAGACGCUCCAGCCAGCCAACACCGGUCCUGAACUUCUUGGCCGCAUGCUAGAAAUGCACCGGGCUGGAGAGCAGGAGAAGAAAGGAACACGUGCUGUGAUAUAUUGUAAAAGCCUCAAGGCUCUGUUAGGAGAUCUGAAUUCUGGUACUGGAUCUGCCUCUGAUUAACAGAAUGACCUUGGCUUAGUCGCC